CGACCCUCUGAUUUAAGGGUCACCUAGCCAACUGACGUUGUUAGUGAACACCUCUUGUUCACACGUUAUAUAGCCAAUCGCCUUGUUUUCGCGAUUGGCUUUUUUCUU
rnacentral:sRNA from 13 species